UACGUAGGGGGCUAGCGUUGUCCGGAAUCAUUGGGCGUAAAGAGCGUGUAGGCGGCUCGAUAAGUCCGCUGUGAAAGUCCAGGGCUUAACCCUGGGAUGCCGGUGGAUACUGUCGGGCUCGAGUCCGGAAGAGGCGAGUGGAAUUCCUGGUGUAGCGGUGAAAUGCGCAGAUAUCAGGAGGAACACCAAUGGCGAAGGCAGCUCGCUGGGACGUGACUGACGCUGAGACGCGAAAGCCGGGGGAGCAAACAGG
rnacentral:rRNA from 1 species